GGUGAGGCGGUGAGGUACAGACAGCUGACAGCUGAACUUAUAGGGAGUAAAACGCGUGUCAUUAUGCUCUGAGUUUAGGCUACUACCACGAACUGCACGGCGAUUUUGAAUCAUAUAUGACUUUAUGUCGCUUAGACUAUUAUACAGUAAAAUAUAUAUGUCAUGCUCAGAGCGGUGCGUUAAUUUUAUUAGGCUACAUACGUCGAAGUUUGUAGUCUGCGCAUACAUGUGUAUUAUGCUCCUGUAAAGUAAUUACGCCAGCCAUGUUCACAAACCGAUGGUGGGAAGGAGGCUCGUGCUAGGGUGCAUAGGGGGGCAACAAAAAAGAGGCCAUAUUUUCGCACUGUUUUGGUUCUGAUGGUUGAUGAGGUGUGAAACUGAUGAUUGUGGGGGUCAGAGAGCCACAAUGGCAUUCCAGGGCCAUUGUUUUUGACAGAUGGGCCAUAAGCAGUGGCAAUCACAGGUGUGUUUACACCUAUCACCAGAAUUGAUUGUGUAGGGACACUGGUUUUGGAGAGGACUAAACACCUAUGUUUACAAGGUCCAAAAUAUUGGCCAGAAAUAUUUAAAUAUACCGGUAUGUGUUUUUAACAAAAGUCUGAGCAAUUUUUGCACGGGUAUGUUUACAUUUGAUUUAUAUACAAAUACUUUACUACAUUCCUUUUAUUAUCAUGUUAUUUUUGCUGAGGUUUUCUAGAAUAUAACCAUAUAUGGCACUUUUGCAUGAAUGUUUUUAGUUAGGUGAAAUAAACAACUGAUCUGAUUAUGACUAAUCUAGAGUUUGGUGAUCAAUGGGCAUUCAUUAUUAACAACAGUGACCGGUUAUUAUAACAUGUGCAUUGCUUUGUGACUCUUGCAGCUUCAAAAAUGACAAAGUUCCAUUCACGCGCUCAAGUGAUUCAGAUGCUCUAUGACAGCGAUGAGGAAUCCGACAGCCUCAGUGAAUGCCUUUCAGAUGACCCUUCACGUGGAGCUAGCAUGGAUUCCUUUGAAUGGAUGUGUUUUGAGGAACGACUGGACCCUCUCCUCGACUUUGUUUCUUCUGAGGCUCCAAUGAGUGCACCUGUCCCCUCCCCUCUCCCCACACACCGCAGCUCCCCUGACCUGCCAGGUCCCUCAAGCCUUCUUCUAUCUCCAAGGCGGACAAGUACCAGAAAGAGUGCGAGACUAUCCGCCAAGAGGAGUGUAAGCCAAUCCCUCAAGAGGAGUGCGAGCCAAUCCUUCAAGAAGAGAGCACCCACACGAACGGCUAUGGCUUCAAAAAUGACAAAGGCCGAUUCACGCGCUCCAGUGCUUCAGAUGCUCUAUGACAGCGAUGCAGAAUUCGACAGCCUCAGUGAAUGCAGUAGUGAAUGCCUUUCAGAUGACCCUUGGUCUAGCAUGGAUUCCUUUGAAUGGAUGUGUUUUGAGAAACGACUGGACCCUAUCUUGGACUUUGUUUCUUCUGAGGCUCCAAUGAGUGCACCUGUCCCCUCCCCUCUCCCAACACACCGCAGCUCCCCUGACCUGCCAGGUCCCUCAAGCCUUCUUCCAUCUCCAAGGCGGACAAGUACCAGAAAGAGUGCGAGACUAUCCGUCAAGAGGAGUGCGAGGCUAUCCGUCAAUAGGAGUGCGAGCCAAUCCUUCAAGAAGAGAGCACCCACACGAACGGCUAUGGCUUCAAAAAUGAAGACAUAUUCACCCGCUCAAGUGAUUCAGAUGCUCAAUGACAGCGAUGAGGAAUCGUCUGACCUGCCAGGUCCCUCAAGCCUUUCUCCAUCUCCAAGGAGGACAAGUACCAGAAAGAGUGCGAGACUAUCCGUCAAGAAGAGUGCAAAACCAUCAGUGAAAAACAGCCGUCUGUAGAAACCAGCUUUAUUAGGCUGAAAAAUCUCUACGGCAGGUGUCACUGCCUUACGCCAUGUUUUUGCACAGAACAAACCUGUGUUGCAUGCUGUGUCUGGGAGACUGUUGCUAACUUGGUUGAUGGUUGAUGCUGGACAGUAUUGUUUUAAGUUAUUAUUUUCUUUAUUCUUUAGCUUGUUCAGUUGCUUAGUUUCACUGGCUCUGAUGCUGCUGCCCCAAGUAAAAGUAUAUAUUUUUGUACCUGUAUCUGUAGGUCGCCCCUAGCCCACCGUAAGUUUAUGACUUGGGGGGGGGGGGGGGCACAAUGUAGUACGCCACUCUGUAUUCAUUACUGUUCAUUUAACCAAGUGUGCCACUGGUUUUGUUCCGUUUAAUAAAGUUGAGUUCCCUAACCUCCA
rnacentral:lncRNA from 1 species